CACGUAGGGCGCAAGCGUUGUCCGGAAUUAUUGGGCGUAAAGAGCUCGUAGGCGGUCUGUUACGUCUGCUGUGAAAACCCAGGGCUUAACCCUGGGCUUGCAGUGGAUACGGGCAGACUAGAGGCAGGUAGGGGAGAAUGGAAUUCCCGGUGUAGCGGUGAAAUGCGCAGAUAUCGGGAGGAACACCGGUGGCGAAGGCGGCUUGCUGGGCCUUACCUGACGCUGAGGAGCGAAAGCGUGGGGAGCGAACAGG
rnacentral:rRNA from 1 species